rnacentral:tRNA from 1 species
GCCGUGGUGGCGGAAUUGGCAGACGCGCUGGCUUCAGGAGCCAGUCCUCGUAAGGGGGUGGGAGUUCAACUCUCCCUCACGGCA